CUUAAAUUCACUUUGUUUCUCCUCCAGCAACAGGCGAUGUAUUGUGCCCUGCAUUUCUCCUGCAUGACAGAAGGCCAAACCAAUCAGUGACACACAGCGAAAGGACAGCUGGCCAAAGAGGCCUCGUAGCUCGCUUCCUGAUGGCUCGAGGCCCAACCAUUUUAUCACAUUCGGUAUUUGCACUUCAAGAAGAGAUUCUUCUUCAAGUGAAGUGGAAUUUUCCCACCUGAAAAACCAAACUCAGCCUUUACCUUACGGAGAACCAUAACGACACUGUAUGUCCUAAGGAAGCAGGACGGAUCUCUCUCGUCCAAUCCCAGCUCCGUUUUCAUUGCAGCCCAAGGGCCUCUUCCAAAUUCGUCUUCUAUUGGCUGCUGGGAAGGAGGCAUCUCCUAGAGUCGCACACGCAAUUCCAGGUUAAAGCUUACUUUUCACCUUACCUUCGGGUAAAGCACUUAGUCAUUUGUAGACAACAUUAUCCAUGGGAGCUGUUUUGCUCUACUGGGUGCAUGCCAUAUUGCUUAUGCUCCUUCCUCUGCUCACUCCAGAAUCUCCUCCUCGCCACCUUACCCUCUCUCACACACAUUAAAACAUAUAAAAGAAUAGUUGAAAGAAACAUCUCUAUUGAAGCAGAACAAGAAAGUGUCUCCACGACUGGACCUAUGAAAAACUUGCUGUAGUCCAAGACAUGCAAGGGCUGGUUUGGGUUACUCAGCACAUGCCCAGAGGCAUCUUUUAAAACUACCUGAACACUUCCCUGACAGGGCUUGUAAAAUGUUGUUUCCAGGACUGCUCUGGCUCAUGAGGUGAGUUUCUGCAAUUCAUCAUCCUUAAUAUUGACCUUAUCUGUACAAUAAGAAUAGCCAAGUGACGCUUGGAAGUACUAGGCUAAAGAUUUCAAGAUUUUCCA